rnacentral:rRNA from 1 species
AGAGUUUGAUCCUGGCUCAGGACGAACGCUGGCGGCGUGCUUAACACAUGCAAGUCGAGCGGAAAGGCCCUUCGGGGUACUCGAGCGGCGAACGGGUGAGUAACACGUGAGCAACCUGCCCUAGGCUUUGGGAUAACCCUCGGAAACGGGGGCUAAUACCGAAUACGACCUUCUGCCGCAUGGUGGGGGGUGGAAAGUUUUUCGGCCUGGGAUGGGCUCGCGGCCUAUCAGCUUGUUGGUGGGGUGAUGGCCUACCAAGGCGACGACGGGUAGCCGGCCUGAGAGGGCGACCGGCCACACUGGGACUGAGACACGGCCCAGACUCCUACGGGAGGCAGCAGUGGGGAAUAUUGCACAAUGGGCGGAAGCCUGAUGCAGCGACGCCGCGUGAGGGAUGACGGCCUUCGGGUUGUAAACCUCUUUCAGCAGGGACGAAGCGCAAGUGACGGUACCUGCAGAAGAAGCGCCGGCCAACUACGUGCCAGCAGCCGCGGUAAGACGUAGGGCGCGAGCGUUGUCCGGAUUUAUUGGGCGUAAAGAGCUCGUAGGCGGCUUGUCGCGUCGACCGUGAAAACUUGGGGCUCAACCCCAAGCCUGCGGUCGAUACGGGCAGGCUAGAGUUCGGUAGGGGAGACUGGAAUUCCUGGUGUAGCGGUGAAAUGCGCAGAUAUCAGGAGGAACACCGGUGGCGAAGGCGGGUCUCUGGGCCGAUACUGACGCUGAGGAGCGAAAGCGUGGGGAGCGAACAGGAUUAGAUACCCUGGUAGUCCACGCUGUAAACGUUGGGCGCUAGGUGUGGGGGGCCUCUCCGGUUCUCUGUGCCGCAGCUAACGCAUUAAGCGCCCCGCCUGGGGAGUACGGCCGCAAGGCUACUGGGUUUGACAUGGCCGCAAAACCUCCAGAGAUGGGGGGUCCUUCGGGGAAACUCAAAGGAAUUGACGGGGGCCCGCACAAGCGGCGGAGCAUGCGGAUUAAUUCGAUGCAACGCGAAGAACCUUAC